UUAAGCGACUAAGCGUACACGGUGGAUGCCCUGGCAGUCAGAGGCGAUGAAGGACGUGCUAAUCUGCGAUAAGCGUCGGUAAGGUGAUAUGAACCGUUAUAACCGGCGAUUUCCGAAUGGGGAAACCCAGUGUGAUUCGUCACACUAUCAUUAACUGAAUCCAUAGGUUAAUGAGGCGAACCGGGGGAACUGAAACAUCUAAGUACCCCGAGGAAAAGAAAUCAACCGAGAUUCCCCCAGUAGCGGCGAGCGAACGGGGAGCAGCCCAGAGCCUGAAUCAGUGUGUGUGUUAGUGGAAGCGUCUGGAAAGGCGCGCGAUACAGGGUGACAGCCCCGUACACAAAAAUGCACAUGCUGUGAGCUCGAUGAGUAGGGCGGGACACGUGGUAUCCUGUCUGAAUAUGGGGGGACCAUCCUCCAAGGCUAAAUACUCCUGACUGACCGAUAGUGAACCAGUACCGUGAGGGAAAGGCGAAAAGAACCCCGGCGAGGGGAGUGAAAAAGAACCUGAAACCGUGUACGUACAAGCAGUGGGAGCACAGAGCAAUCUGUGUGACUGCGUACCUUUUGUAUAAUGGGUCAGCGACUUAUAUUCUGUAGCAAGGUUAACCGAAUAGGGGAGCCGAAGGGAAACCGAGUCUUAACUGGGCGUUAAGUUGCAGGGUAUAGACCCGAAACCCGGUGAUCUAGCCAUGGGCAGGUUGAAGGUUGGGUAACACUAACUGGAGGACCGAACCGACUAAUGUUGAAAAAUUAGCGGAUGACUUGUGGCUGGGGGUGAAAGGCCAAUCAAACCGGGAGAUAGCUGGUUCUCCCCGAAAGCUAUUUAGGUAGCGCCUCGUGAAUUCAUCUCCGGGGGUAGAGCACUGUUUCGGCAAGGGGGUCAUCCCGACUUACCAACCCGAUGCAAACUGCGAAUACCGGAGAAUGUUAUCACGGGAGACACACGGCGGGUGCUAACGUCCGUCGUGAAGAGGGAAACAACCCAGACCGCCAGCUAAGGUCCCAAAGUCAUGGUUAAGUGGGAAACGAUGUGGGAAGGCCCAGACAGCCAGGAUGUUGGCUUAGAAGCAGCCAUCAUUUAAAGAAAGCGUAAUAGCUCACUGGUCGAGUCGGCCUGCGCGGAAGAUGUAACGGGGCUAAACCAUGCACCGAAGCUGCGGCAGCGACGCUGAUGCGUUGUUGGGUAGGGGAGCGUUCUGUAAGCCUGUGAAGGUGUACUGUGAGGUAUGCUGGAGGUAUCAGAAGUGCGAAUGCUGACAUAAGUAACGAUAAAGCGGGUGAAAAGCCCGCUCGCCGGAAGACCAAGGGUUCCUGUCCAACGUUAAUCGGGGCAGGGUGAGUCGACCCCUAAGGCGAGGCCGAAAGGCGUAGUCGAUGGGAAACAGGUUAAUAUUCCUGUACUUGGUGUUACUGCGAAGGGGGGACGGAGAAGGCUAUGUUGGCCGGGCGACGGUUGUCCCGGUUUAAGCGGGUAGGCUGGUUUUCCAGGCAAAUCCGGAAAAUUAAGGCUGAGGCGUGAUGACGAGGCACUACGGUGCUGAAGCAACAAAUGCCCUGCUUCCAGGAAAAGCCUCUAAGCAUCAGGUAACAUCAAAUCGUACCCCAAACCGACACAGGUGGUCAGGUAGAGAAUACCAAGGCGCUUGAGAGAACUCGGGUGAAGGAACUAGGCAAAAUGGUGCCGUAACUUCGGGAGAAGGCACGCUGAUAUGUAGGUGAAGCGACUUGCUCGUGGAGCUGAAAUCAGUCGAAGAUACCAGCUGGCUGCAACUGUUUAUUAAAAACACAGCACUGUGCAAACACGAAAGUGGACGUAUACGGUGUGACGCCUGCCCGGUGCCGGAAGGUUAAUUGAUGGGGUUAGCGCAAGCGAAGCUCUUGAUCGAAGCCCCGGUAAACGGCGGCCGUAACUAUAACGGUCCUAAGGUAGCGAAAUUCCUUGUCGGGUAAGUUCCGACCUGCACGAAUGGCGUAAUGAUGGCCAGGCUGUCUCCACCCGAGACUCAGUGAAAUUGAACUCGCUGUGAAGAUGCAGUGUACCCGCGGCAAGACGGAAAGACCCCGUGAACCUUUACUAUAGCUUGACACUGAACAUUGAGCCUUGAUGUGUAGGAUAGGUGGGAGGCUU
rnacentral:rRNA from 1 species